rnacentral:rRNA from 1 species
AUGCAAUGGACCACAGGGAUAAUUUUACCCCGGUGGACUCGGUUGUUUUUUCCUCACGGAGUUAUGAAAAUGAUAUGCCGCCUCAAUACAUCUGAAACAUACAGCCAAUUCAUGCUACUGGGGAAAAUAUCUCUUGGGAAGAAAGAAAAAACAACUCUCUCAGACUGUUGCAUGGGUGGAAUCCGUCAUCGGUUGGGUGAUCGGCACAUCAUUCUCUCCACCGAUGACCGCAGCUCGGGUUGCAGCAGACGAAGAAGAGCGUCAUCCCCUCCUCACCUCUCGCGGUGGCCUAUAGAACACAGCAGAAUCAAGGUGAGGUUCUUGUUCAGGAAGAUUGUAGCAAUAAUGUCAAGUGUCUAUAGAACACAACCGAAUCAAGACAGCUUCGCCGUGGCCACAGACGGCACACCGGACUUCCUUGGUGCGGGGAAGGGUGGGGUCGCCGGCGACGUCCUGGAGCACCUGGGUGAACUCUCCAGCGCUGUGGUGCACCACGUUCCGGUAGACACAGUUGUUGUCUGCAACCUCCUGCAGUCUCAGAACGUUUCAAGUAAUUUUCAGGACGAGGUGGUAUGA